UACGAAGGGGGCUAGCGUUGUUCGGAAUUACUGGGCGUAAAGGGCGCGUAGGCGGUGUGUCAAGUCAGGCGUGAAAGCCCCGGGCUCAACCUGGGAACCGCGCUUGAGACUGGCACGCUCGAGUUCGGGAGAGGAUGGUGGAAUUCCCAGUGUAGAGGUGAAAUUCGUAGAUAUUGGGAAGAACACCAGUGGCGAAGGCGGCUAACUGGUCCAGAUCUGACGCUGAGGUGCGAAAGCGUGGGGAGCAAACAGG
rnacentral:rRNA from 1 species